ensembl:snRNA U1 U1 spliceosomal RNA
CUGCAGAUCUGGCAGGGGAGAUACUGUGAUCACAAAGGUGGUUUUCCCAGAGUGAGGCUCAUCCAUUGCACGGCAGAUGUGCUGACCUGUAAUUUUCCCCAAAUGAAGGAAACUCAACUGCAUAAUUUGUGGUGGCUCCUGUGCCAUUCAGGUU